GUUUGAUGUUCUAACGUAGGUCCCUUAUCGGGAUUGCGGACAGUGUCUGGUGGGUAGUUUGACUGGGGCGGUCUCCUCCCAAAGAGUAACGGAGGAGCACGAAGGUUGGCUAAACAUGGUUGGACAUCAUGUGGUUAGUGCAAAGGCAUAAGCCAGCUUAACUGCGAGACAGACACGUCGAGCAGGUACGAAAGUAGGUCUUAGUGAUCCGGUGGUUCUGAAUGGAAGGGCCAUCGCUCAACGGAUAAAAGGUACUCCGGGGAUAACAGGCUGAUACCGCCCAAGAGUUCAUAUCGACGGCGGUGUUUGGCACCUCGAUGUCGGCUCAUCACAUCCUGGGGCUGAAGUUGGUCCCAAGGGUAUGGCUGUUCGCCAUUUAAAGUGGUACGCGAGCUGGGUUUAGAACGUCGUGAGACAGUUCGGUCCCUAUCUGCCGUGGGCGUUUGAGAAUUGAGAGGAGCUGCUCCUAGUACGAGAGGACCGGAGUGGACGAACCACUGGUGUUCGGGUUGUCAUGCCAAUGGCAUUGCCCGGUAGCUAAGUUCGGAACUGAUAACCGCUGAAAGCAUCUAAGCGGGAAGCAGGCCUCGAGAUGAGUUCUCACUGGAGCUUUAAGCUCCCUGAAGGGCCGUUGGAGACUACAACGUUGAUAGGCAAGGUGUGUAAGUGCUGUGAGGCAUUGAGCUAACUUGUACUAAUUACCCGUGAGGCUUAACCAUA
rnacentral:rRNA from 1 species